rnacentral:rRNA from 1 species
AGCGAACGCUGGCAGCAGGCCUAACACAUGCAAGUCGAACGGAUCCUUCGGGAUUAGUGGCGGACGGGUGAGUAACACGUGGGAACGUGCCCUUUGGUUCGGAACAACUCAGGGAAACUUGAGCUAAUACCGGAUGUGCCCUUCGGGGGAAAGAUUUAUCGCCAUUGGAGCGGCCCGCGUCUGAUUAGCUAGUUGGUGAGGUAAAGGCUCACCAAGGCGACGAUCAGUAGCUGGUCUGAGAGGAUGAUCAGCCACGUUGGGACUGAGACACGGCCCAAACUCCUACGGGAGGCAGCAGUGGGGAAUCUUGCGCAAUGGGCGAAAGCCUGACGCAGCCAUGCCGCGUGAAUGAUGAAGGUCUUAGGAUUGUAAAAUUCUUUCACCGGGGACGAUAAUGACGGUACCCGGAGAAGAAGCCCCGGCUAACUUCAUGCCAGCCGCCGCGGUAA